rnacentral:rRNA from 1 species
GACGAAGGGGGCUAGCGUUGCUCGGAAUCACUGGGCGUAAAGCGCACGUAGGCGGAUUGUUAAGUCAGGGGUGAAAUCCUGGAGCUCAACUCCAGAACUGCCUUUGAUACUGGCGAUCUCGAGUCCGGGAGAGGUGAGUGGAACUGCGAGUGUAGAGGUGAAAUUCGUAGAUAUUCGCAAGAACACCAGUGGCGAAGGCGGCUCACUGGCCCGGUACUGACGCUGAGGUAGCGAAAGCGUGGGGAGCA